rnacentral:tRNA from 2 species
GGGUCUGUAGCUCAGUUGGUCAGAGCAGGGGACUCAUAAUCCCUUGGUCGUAGGUUCAAGUCCUACCAGACCCA